rnacentral:rRNA from 1 species
AGUGAACGCUGGCGGUAGGCCUAACACAUGCAAGUCGAACGGCAGCACAGUAAGAGCUUGCUCUUACGGGUGGCGAGUGGCGGACGGGUGAGGAAUACAUCGGAAUCUACUUUUUCGUGGGGGAUAACGUAGGGAAACUUACGCUAAUACCGCAUACGACCUACGGGUGAAAGCAGGGGAUCUUCGGACCUUGCGCGAUUGAAUGAGCCGAUGUCGGAUUAGCUAGUUGGCGGGGUAAAGGCCCACCAAGGCGACGAUCCGUAGCUGGUCUGAGAGGAUGAUCAGCCACACUGGAACGGAGACACGGUCCAGACUCCUACGGGAGGCAGCAGUGGGGAAUAUUGGACAAUGGGCGCAAGCCUGAUCCAGCCAUACCGCGUGGGUGAAGAAGGCCUUCGGGUUGUAAAGCCCUUUUGUUGGGAAAGAAAAGCAGCAGGUUAAUACCCAGCUGUUCUGACGGUACCCAAAGAAUAAGCACCGGCUAACUUCGUG